GGGUUGUGAGGUUAAGCGACUAAGCGUACACGGUGGAUGCCCUGGCAGUCAGAGGCGAUGAAGGACGUGCUAAUCUGCGAUAAGCGCCGGUAAGGUGAUAUGAACCGUUAUAACCGGCGAUUUCCGAAUGGGGAAACCCAGUGUGACUCGUCACACUAUCAUUAACUGAAUCCAUAGGUUAAUGAGGCGAACCGGGGGAACUGAAACAUCUAAGUACCCCGAGGAAAAGAAAUCAACCGAGAUUCCCCCAGUAGCGGCGAGCGAACGGGGAGGAGCCCAGAGCCUGAAUCAGCAUGUGUGUUAGUGGAAGCGUCUGGAAAGGCGCGCGAUACAGGGUGACAGCCCCGUACACAAAAGCGCAUGUGCUGUGAGCUCGAUGAGUAGGGCGGGACACGUGGUAUCCUGUCUGAAUAUGGGGGGACCAUCCUCCAAGGCUAAAUACUCCUGACUGACCGAUAGUGAACCAGUACCGUGAGGGAAAGGCGAAAAGAACCCCGGCGAGGGGAGUGAAAAAGAACCUGAAACCGUGUACGUACAAGCAGUGGGAGCACAGGUUUACCUGUGUGACUGCGUACCUUUUGUAU
rnacentral:rRNA from 2 species